rnacentral:lncRNA from 12 species
CUUCAGUUCCUUUUCAGUUUUUUGUUCACAAAUUCUUAAGUGAACAAAGAGAGACUCCUGAUUCUCCUUCUUUGCAGCUAUUCAUGUGCCUCUGGGAGAGGUUUGGCUUCUGUGCUUGCCAGGCUAAUCAAGGAAACAGAAAACACGGAACAUUAGUGCAUUUAAAUCCCAGGCACUCUAAAGUCUCAAGGAAAUAGAAAAUAUGUUUGGCAGAUACAUCCACCUGAUGUCCAUGGCCUUGAGGGCCUCAGGAGAUGUUCCAGUGGCCAAGGGCCAAGUGAUGCUGGUGGCUGGAGAUCAAGGGAACUGACAAGAGGAAGGCACAUACCUUCAGCUAUAUCCUUUCUGCUUUUGCUGCUUCCUGAAAUUGUUCUGCAAUCACAGUUCCAGAGGAUUUAAGUUUAAAAGUUUUGAUAGAAAUAGUGUAUUACUGUUGUGAAGAGGAAAAAACCUG